rnacentral:tRNA from 1 species
GGCGCUCUGGCUUAGUAGGUUAAAGUCCCUGUCUCGUAAACAGGAGAUCCUGGGUUUAAAUCCCAGCGGUGCCU